rnacentral:lncRNA from 1 species
GAAAACUUCAGCUGGGGGGAUUUGUUCCUUCAAAAUCAUCAAACUCUCUUUCGGGGGAAUAUAGGAAAUACCUGUCUGUUUCUGAGCCUGCUAUAAGAAUAUCUUGUCAGUCAAACUCUCCAGUUUCAUCAAAGUCAAGCCCACGACAAUCUUGUGAAGAUAUUAUACAUGAUGAUUUAAAACAAAGAAAUGAUAUUCUAAAUCACGAAGUUAUAAGUUUAAGAGCACAGGUAAGCCUGAUCAAAUUUAUCUAAUUUAUAUGCACAUCCUUCUAUAUAACUGAUUAAUUAACCCUGAUGGAAUUGUACUAUGGUAUUUAUGUUCCUUCUGUUUGAUCAAACUAAAAAGAUAAAAACUUCUAACAGAAAAAGUUCUACAUAAAUUUGCCUCAUUGCGGCACCAUGAUGGUGGGCCAUGCUGAAUGCCAUUUGCUUGGUACUGGCACUGCUAGCGGAAAGGGAGAGGACAUGCAAGAAAAAGAAAGGAUGGGUACAAUAGAGUGAAAAACCCAAUUUCAUCAUAUAACCUAUGACUCACGAAACCCUAAUAUUUUAAGCACUCACGUCAACAAUUGUCGAAGCCUAUGCUGCACUGUACUCACUCCCAUUUUGAUAGACUGUUAUUUUAUUAGAAUAUUUAGGGAAAUUCUCCCUUGAUAUCAACACUUUGGAACUUUGAGGCUCAGAAGACCUCCCUAUACCCUAGCGCCCCAACUCUCCCAAAUUGACAUGAUAUCUCUCCCUCUAGUUCUUUCAACUCACAGACCUAACACAUUUUCACUUAAGUCUCUCCUCAUUGAUGACCUUUCUUGUUAACGACCUAUUUUCUUUCUUUUCUCUUUCUGUUCUCCGAUCUCAUUUUUGGCAACCUCUUUGUUCUCUAUUUUCUUUUUCUCUUUUCCUCUCUGUCUGCCUCUCUUCUCUUUUUAUUUCUUUCUUAUUGUAUUAUGUUUUUCUUGUUCUGUAAUUUUUAUUUCGUUGUUGUUUUAUGUUAUUCUCUUUGGCCUUUAUGAUGUACAUUGUACAAGUCUUGUUCUUUUUCUUUAUUCUCUACUGUUUACAUUCUUCCUUUUAUAUUCUAUUUUUAUUUCUUAUUUAUUUCCUGUAUUAAAUUCCUAAGGGUAUGAAUUAUGCCAUUUCUUGUGAAUUUUAUUUAUAUAUUUAUUGCAAUAUGUUUUUUUAGUUUACUUUCUUCACAUAUGUUGGUGUUUACUGUAUUAUAUUAUGCAGUUCUUUUGGUAUAUAAUUUGCACACAUAUUACGUAUUUAUCAUAGAUGUUAUAUGCUUGGCACAAUAUCAUUUAUUAAGCAGAUUCUUUUUCGUCUCCAUUAGCCGCCACUCCCUAUUUAUAACAUUGUUAUUGGCACCAUUUGCAUUAUUUGCUUGCAUCUUCAUCUACUAGUUUGUAUUCAACUCUCAGGUUUGAGUAUAGUCUCACAAUAAUUGAACUAGACAAUUAUCAAAUCGUUGAAUUAAAAUGAAUAUUGCUUUCAACUUUCUAAUAUCAGUUAUUUAUUAAUUCUAUAUGUUGAAAAGGCUUCAAGUAUGCCAUCUCAAACUGAUGAAAUAUACAUUGUAGGUUGAAGAUCUUACUCGUAAGUCAAAAAGUCUUGAGGCUGAACUUGAGAGAACAUCAAAGCAAUUGAAGGAAGUGACUGUAGUAGCCGCAGAUGAAGCUGGAAAAUGUGAAUCUGCAAAAGAGGUUAUAAAGUCAUUGACAGCUCAGGUUGGGUAUUUUUCUAUCGACAUAAUUUUUUACUCCUCUUUGAUUUUUCAAACAUAAAGGGAAACUUUAUCGUGCAACUACAAGACCAGUGAUGUUGUAUGAGGCAGAGUGUUGGGUGGUAAAAAAACAACGCGAGAAUAAAGUCAGUGUUUUAGAGAUGAGAGUGCUGUGUCAGAUGUAUAGAAUACUGAUGAUAUACGAUCAGGAAUGAUAGUUGUUGAAUAAGAGAAAAUGAGAGAGACAUAUGGUGAAACCGUGUGUCUGAACUACACAACGGAGUCUGUUUUAUAUAGGCUCAAGGCAAUAAAUACAAAAAUAAAUAUGGGAGAUAUUAUCUCUAUUUACAUGAUAUGUAAUAAAUAUAAAUAUAUUUUCAACACUCCCCCUCAAGCUGGAGCAUAUAAAUCAUAUGCACCAAGCUUGUUACAUAUAUAACUGAUUCGAGGACCUCUCAGAGACUUAGUGAAUACAUCUGCCAAUUGAUCAUUGGAAUUAACAAAACUAGUGGUGAUGUCGCCUGAUUCGAUCUUCUCCCUUACAAAGUGACAAUCUAUCUCAAUAUGCUUGGUCCUCUCAUGAAAAACUGGAUUAGAGGCAAUGUGCAAUGCUGCUUGAUUAUCACAUAUUAAUGUCAUUUGUGUUGCCUCUUCAAAUUGAAGCUCUUUGAGUAACUGUUUCAACCAAAUGAGCUCACAAGUCACUAAUGCCAUAGCCCUGUAUUCAGCUUCAGCGCUAGAUCUUGCAACUACACUUUGUUUCUUACUCUUCCAAGAUAUUAAGUUUCCUCCAACAAGUACACAAUACCCAGAAGUGGAUCGCCUAUCAAUGGGUGAGCCUGCCCAAUCGGCAUCUGAAUAACCAACUAUCUGAGUAUGUCCUCUGUUUUCAUAAAUUAGACCCUUUCCUGGAGCACCUUUAAUGUAUUUCAAGAUUCGUAUCACAGCAUCCCAGUGUUCUUGACAAGGAGAAUUUAAGAAUUGACUUACCACACUGACUGCAAAAGAAAUGUCUGGACGGGUGACUGUGAGGUAGUUUAAUUUACCAACCAAUCUUCUGUAUCUCCCUGAAUCUAAAAAUGGCUCCCCAUGAUUAGGUAGAAGUUUGACGUUUGGAUCCAUAGGAGUGUCAACCGGUUUGGCAUUCAACAAACCUGUCUCUUCAAGAAUAUCCAUAGCAUAUUUUCUUUGUGAAAUUACUAAGCCGUCCUUAGAUUGGGCUACCUCAAUACCCAAGAAGUAGCGGAGCUUGCCAAGAUCUUUAGUUUGAAACUGAUGAGAUAAAUGUUGUUUCAAUUGGAGUAUGCCCUGUUGAUCACUACCAGUUAUGACAAUAUCAUCUACAUAGACAAUCAAGUAAAUGCACCCUUGGGUUGAGUGACGAUAAAAAAGAGAAUGAUCAGCUUCACUUCGAAUCAUGCCAAAUUGUUGCACUACUGUGCUAAAUCUACCAAACCAAGCUCGAGGAGACUGUUUAAGACCAUAGAGAGACCUCUGAAGUCGACAAACCAUGGUAGAGGACUCCCCCUGAGCAACAAACCCAGGUGGUUGCUCCAUAUACACUUCUUCUUCAAGGUCACCAUGCAAAAAAGCAUUUUUAAUGUCAAGUUGAUGUAGAGACCAAUGUCUGAUGGCUGCAAUAGAGAGGAGUAGUCUAACAGAGGCCAUCUUAGCCACAGGGGAGAAAGUAUCACUGUAAUCGAGGCCAAAAACUUGAGUGUACCCUUUUGCUACCAAACGAGCUUUAAAACGAUCAAUCUUACCAUCAGGACCAACUUUCACCGUAUAAAGCCAACGACAUCCUACUAAAGACUUUCCCGACGGUAAAGGAACCAAUUCCCAUGUACCACUACUCUGAAGUGCACACAUCUCGUCAAUCAUUGCUUGUCUCCACUCUGGGUGAGAUAAAGCUUCACCUGGAGAUUUAGGAAUAGAAACAGAAGACAGGGAAGACAAACAAGUAUAAUGCAAAGGAGAAAGACGAUGGUAACUCAAGCCAAUGUAAUGAGGGGAUGGGUUACGAGUAGGACGUAUACCUUUACGAAUAGCAAUAGGAAUAUCAAGGGUCGGAUCCGAUAAAGAAGGAGGUGGCGGUGAAGGAGCGUCUGGAGUGACCUCGGUAUCAAGAACAGGUGUAGGGACAUGUACAACCGAUGGUGGUUGACGACGACGAUAUGUCUGAAGAGGUUGUACAGUUGGAGGAUCAACAAGAGGAGUCUCAAGUGGGACAGUGGGAGGGGCCACAGGAGGUGUCUCAGGUGGGGCAUACGUAAUAGGCUCUAAUGGUAAAAGAGAAGGUGAAAUAGACUUUGGUAGGUCCAGAGGAAUAGUUGCAGACAAAGGAUCAGGAAGCGACUCAUAGUAUGUAACAGACUCAAAAAAUGUGACAUCAACCGAUAUGAGAUAUCGUCGAAGAGUAGGAGAAUAACAACGAUAACCUUUUUGGGACCGAUGAUAACCCAGAAAGACACAUUUUAAUGAUCGAGCUGAAAGUUUGUCAAGACCAGGAGUGAGAUUGUGGACAAAACAUGUAGAUCCGAAGACCCGAGGAGGAAGUGAGUGAAGAGGGGUACCAGGAAAGAGGAUCGAGUGAGGGACUUUGUUAUCAAGAGCAGACGAAGGCAUGCGAUUUAUAAGAUAGCACGCCGUUAGAACAGCAUCGCCCCAAAAGCGAGAUGGUACAUUACCAUGAAGAAGGAGAGUACGAGUGGUUUCAAUAAGGUGCCGAUUUUUGCGUUCGGCUACCCCAUUUUGUUGAGGUGUAUGAGCACAAGAUGUUUGAUGAAGAAUGCCGUUAGAGGUCAUAAAAUUUUGAAAUUGAUGGGACAAAUAUUCACGGGCAUUAUCACUGCGCAAAGUGCGAAUGGAUACACCAAAUUGAGUUUUAAUUUCCUUAUAAAAUUGUUCAAAAAUAGAAAAUAAUUCAGACCUAUUUUUCAUUAAAAAUAACCACGUACAACGGGAAAAAUCAUCGAUAAAGGUAACAAAAUAUCUAGACUCAAGUGUGGAAAUAGUACGAGAGGGACCCCAAACAUCUGAGUGAACUAAAGCAAAUGGGGAGGAAGCUCGUUUAUUAGCUCGAUCAGUGAAAUGACUACGAGUGUGUUUCCCUAAUUGACACGACUCACAAUUUAAGCUAGAUAUUUUGGUUAGAUUAGGUACUAAUUGUUGAAGUUUGGGAAGACUCGGAUGACCUAACUGAGCAUGUAUAGUAAGAGGAGAAUAUGUGGUAGGGCACGCUGUUGAUGGGUUUGAGAGAUAAUAAAGACCAUUAGACUCACAUCCGACACCAAUUUGUCGUCCUGAUAUUCGGUCUUGCAAAGUAACAUUGCAAUUAGUAAAUGUGACAACACAGUCAUGAGAACGAGUCAAUCGACUGAUAGAAAUUAAAUUAAAUGGGCAUCCAGGCACAUAAAGGACAGAUUUAACUAACAGAGUAGGGAGGAUUUGGACAGUGCCAAUCCCUUGAGACUGUGUUUGGGAACCAUUGGCUGAGACUAUCCUAGGUAAAUAACCAGAUGUUGAGAGGGGAGAAAAGAGUCUUAUUACCAGUAAUGUGAUCAGAUGCACCAGAAUCGAGAAUCCAUGGGCUAUGAGAAAGUGAGAUGCAAACAAGUGACUUACCACUUUGUGCAGUUGAAACAACGGAACUCGAGUUUUGACAAUACUCUAACCACCAAAGAAAAUCUUCAUAAGUAGCCAUAAUCAAUAAGAAAAUCUUUAUAAGUAGCCAUAAUCAAUAAGUAGUAACCUAAAAACCAGCAGCGAAACAAUGGCAGAAUAUGGUUUUUUUUUUUUUUUUUUUUUUUUUUCUCGAUGAACAGUACCGCUCGAUGAACAGUGUUGCGCGAUGAACAGUGAACAGUGGAGGAAAAAAUGAACGAAAAAGCGACAAAGAAGGGUAAACCGGAAUUGAGGCACGGUUUACCGAAAAAAAAUCUCACCGAAGGACAGUGGGUCCCGGGGUAAUCACGGUAUAGGGUUGUCUCUCUUAAUAGGCUCUAGAUACCAUGUUGAAUAAGAGAAAAUGAGAGAGACAUAUGGUGAAACCGUGUGUCUGAACUACACAACGGAGUCUGUUUUAUAUAGGCUCAAGGCAAUAAAUACAAAAAUAAAUAUGGGAGAUAUUAUCCCUAUUUACAUGAUAUGUAAUAAAUAUAAAUAUAUUUUCAACAAUAGUGUUGAGAUAGCAUCGAUUGUUGAAAAGAUGAUUGAAUCUCAACUUUGGUGGUUUGGGUAUGUGUGGACUGUGGAGGAGACCUUAGAUCUCAUAGUAAAGAGAGGAUAUGAGAUGGAUAGUAGCUCACAUGCUAGAGGUAGUGGAAAGUUUAUAGGAGAAAAUAUUAUUUAAGAUUUAGUGGUCAAUAAUUUGGCUAAAGAUAUUAAUAUAUUAUUCAUGAUAGAAUAUGGUGUUGUUGUUUGAUCCAUGGAGCCGACCCCACUUUGUGGAAAAAAGCUUGGUUGUUCAAAAUUUGUUCAUUCUGUAUGGAUUAUGUAAAUUGUGGUUGCAGGGGAAGUUCUAGAUCUAUUUGUGGUGGGCCUUAUGUUACGAAUGAGAAUGAAUGAACAUAUAUAGGGCCAUAGGGGAAGUUCUACCCAAAACUUGUAAAUGUUACGACUUUUCUGAUUUUUUUCUUUUGGCGGUGGGGGAGGUUGUUGAUCAUAGUUUGGGAUGUAUACACAGAUAGAUCAUACACGAAAAUUAUAAUUUGAAUUGAGAGAAUGAAGUACCAGAGAUGUGUGAAAAUUUUCACACCCAGACCACUCGUAUGUUUGGAUUGAGAGACUGAAGAUAAGGAAGAAAAUAAAAUUUUAAAAAAGUUGAAAUUUGUCCUCUUCGGAUGAAAAGAAAAUGGAGAGAAGAUUAGGUAAGAAAGAUGUUAGGAUAUAUAAUAUAGGAUAAUUAAAGUUAGUAAAAUUUAGUUAGUGAGUUGAUAAGUUUGUUAGGUGGUUGUUAAGAGUUGUUAUUUUGGUUUUGGUUAUUCUUAGAAAGUCUUUAAAUGUCUUCAAUUGGUAAAAGGGAGUGAUAGCUAUGAAGAAUUAAGUUGUAACUAGGAGUGCUCUAGUGAGAAAGGAGUGUGCUCCUUGGGGAUAGCCUUGAGAGUUCUAGGUUAUCAUCUUCAUUGUUAUUCUCUUGUAUCUUAUCUUUUUCUCUUUCAACCUCACUGCAUGAAUAAGAAAUCAUCCUUUUGUUUACAAUCUUUAUUCCUUUGAAUUUGUUUUGUUACACGAUUAUUCUAGGAAUUCUUUCUUGCUUAAAGAAAGGUUCUUAUUAGAAUAUUAUUGAAGAAAGUAAAAGACAAAAUACUUUCAUAUUUUAUUACUACAGCCCUAAGCUGUUUAUAUAGGAAAAUAAAUUACAAUAGUAAUACUGAGUAAUAAUGACAGAGUCAUAAAAUAAAAAUAAACAUAAUAAUAUAAAAUAAAAGAAAAUAAAAUCUGAUUUCUCUUGAUUCUUCAACACCCCCCCUCAAGUUGGCGCAUAGAUGUCUGUCAUGCCUAACUUGGCUAUAAGUCGCUCAAAAUUGGGUUUUGCCAAACUUUUUGUCAAGAUAUCAGCAGUUUGCUGAUUGGAAGUCACAAAUGGCAGACAUAUAAUUCCAACAUCAAUUUUUUCUUUUAUAAAAUGGCGGUCAAUCUCAAUAUGCUUGGUUCUAUCAUGUUGUACAGGGUUGUGAGCUAUACUAUUGCUGCAUUGUUAUCACAUAACAAUUUUAAGGGCGAGUCAACUUUCAUUUUCAGUUCGCCCAAGAGUUUACGAAUCCAUAAAAGUUCACAGAUUUCUUGAGCCAUUGCUCUGAAUUCAGCUUCUGCACUGCUUUGAGCAACAACCCCUUGUUUCUUACUUCUCUAAGAAACUAAAUUUCCCCAAACAUAGGCACAAUAUCCAAUGGUGGAUUUUCUUUCAGUAAUUGAUCCUGCCCAAUCAACAUAUGUAAAUAUAACGACUUCUCUGUCAUUAGUUUUCUUGAAGCACAAACCCUUUCCAGGAUUGGAUUUCAAGUACCUUAAGAUUCGAUAAACUGCCUCCAAGUGUUCUUCAUAGGAAGAAUGCAUGAAUUGGCUUACAACACUCGCAGAGAAAGCGAUGUCGGGUCUAGUGUGGGCUAGAUAAAUAAGUUUGCCGACUAACCUCUGGUAUCUUCCAAUCUCAACAGAAACACUGCCUUUCUCCCAAAGUUUAGCAUUUAAUUCCAUAGGAGUAUCUGCUGGUCUACACCCACUCAUCUCAGUUUCUUCCAAGAGAUCUAGGAUGUAUUUUCUUUGAGAAACAACAAUUUCCUUCUUUGAGCGAGCAACUUCCAUACCAAGAAAAUAUCUAAGCGCGCCUAAAUCUUUGAUCUCAAAUUCUUUUGUCAAAUUUUUCUUCAAUCUUUCCAUCUCAACAAUGUCAUCUCCUGUGAGAAUAAUAUCAUCUACAUAUACAAUUAGAAUUGCAAUUUUACCAACAUUAGAGAACUUCAUCAACAGAGUAUGAUCUGAUUGUCCCUACAUAUAUCCUUGCCUUUUGACCGACUGAGUGAAUUUUUCAAACCAAGCCCUUGGAGAUUGCUUGAGACCAUAAAGGGAUUUUUGUAGUUUGCACACAUUUGAAUCAAAUUUAUCUUCAAAGCCAGGUGAGCUAUCCAUGUAUACUUCCUCCUCCAAAUCACCAUUCAGAAAAGCAUUCUUUACAUUAAGUUGGUUUAGAGACCAAUUUAAAUUUACUGCCAAGGACAAGAGAACUCUAAUAGUGUUUAAUUUGACAACGGGAGCAAAAGUCUAUGAGUAAUCAAUGCCAUAUGUCUGAGUAAACCAUUUAGCAACCAAGCGUGCCUUGUAUCUUUCAACUGUGUUAUCAGAAUUAUAUUUCACAGUAAAUACCCAUUUACAGCCAACAGUAUUCUUUCCUGUAGGUAACAUCAUGACUCUCCAAGUUUGAUUUUUCUCAAGAGCUCUCAUCUCUUUAAGAACAGCUUCCUUCCACUUUGGAAUUUUUAGAGCCUCCUGUAUAUUUUUUGGAAUUUCUAUAGUAGACAACUUAGAGGUAAAUGCAGCAAAUGUAGAAGACAAUUUUGAGUAUGACACAUAAUUAGACAAAUGAUAUUUAGCGCAUGAUCUAACAGGUUUUCUAAUUGCAAUAGGAAGGUCUAUAUCAGGAUUUUCGACAUGACUCUUAAGAAUAGAAGAAGACUCGCCUGUAUCAAGAUGAUGUGUUGGAUUAUCUAUUGGUUCGGAAUCUUGGAAGGGUCGGAGAAUGGGUCCUUCAUUUCUCUGUUUAUGGUUUCUUCUUUUCAAAGACAUUUCCCUUCCAAGUAAGGCCAAUUGUAGUAAACCUGCUUUGUGUCUCUUUAUCUGAGUCAUUAUGUUAUGGCAUUUUAGGUGGUCCUUCAUUAUUAUUGAGAUCAAGAAUUUGAUCAUUGUGAUUUUGAUUUGAAAUUGUCGCUGCCGAAUUUGUCGAAACCUCAUUCAUAAGUGGAUUGAGUUCCAAUAUGGAUUAUUGGGCAUUUUCUUUUGGUGCAUCAAUAUAAGUCUCAGAAUUUUGUGACAACAGUAUAUCACUUAAAGUAAUGAUGUUUUCAAAAGUAAAAGAUGAAAAUUCCUUAAAAUUUCUUCCCUGAAGAUGAAUGUCAGUAAAAAAUGGUUGAUUUUCAACAAAAGUAACAUCCAUGGUUACAAAAAUUCUUUUUGAUUUUGGUUCAAAACACCUAUACCCCUUCUGAGUUGGAGAGUAACCGGUAAACACACAUUUUAUUGCUCGUGGCUCGAGUUUGUCAAGGUGUUUAUGUUCAUGAACAAAAGCAGUGCAACCAAAAUUUUUUAGUGGCAAAUCAGCAAAGACACUAGUCAAAGGAAAAAAAUUUCGAAAAACAUCAAGAGGUAUGAUGCCUAUUCUUUCUCUCUGCAAUUCCAUUUUGUUGGGGUGUAUUAACACAAGAACUUUGAUGAACAACCCCAUUUGCAAGAAAAAAAUCGGACAAAAGUAUAUUAAAAUAUUCUUUACCAAUGUCACUUCUGAAGACUUGAAUAUUUGUUUGGUAUUGAGUGUGCACCAUUUUAAAGAAAUUUUUGACAACCUGUCCAACUUCCGAUUUUUCUUUCAAUAAAUAAACCCAACAAAUUCUAGUAUGAUCAUCAAUAAAAGUUAUAAACCAUUUUUUUUAUUAGAAAAGGUGUUUAUUCUAUUAGGACCCCAAACAUCACUAUGAAUAGUACUGCAAACGGUUUUGAUUGUUUAUAUGGUUGUGUAGAAAAAGAAGAACGGUGAUGUUUAGCAAAUUCACAAGUUUCACAAUGAAAUAAAGACAGAUCCUUCUUAGAAAAUAAUUUAGGAAAAAAAUGUUUCAAAUACGGAAAACUAGGAUGUCCUAACCGUAAAUGCCAUAACAUAAUAUCAUCAUUAUUAGAAGAAACAAAAAUAGAUUCAAAGUAGGUACUUGUUUUUGGUUGGUCUUUGAAGUCGAGUCCAUUGUCAAGAUAAUAGAGUCCUCUAGUCUCCUUAGCAUUGCCAAUCAUCUUCCCUGUGUUCAAAUCUUUAAAAGUGCAAUGAGAAUGAAAGAAGUUAGCUUGACAAUUUAUAUCCUUUGUUAAUUUAGUAAUGGAUAGCAAAUUACAUGAUAAAUUAGGAACAUGUAAGACAUCUUUUAAGGUUAACUUUGGUGACAGAAUAAAAGAACCUUUCCCUGCAAUGGCUGAAAAAGAGCCAUCUGCAAUUUUAAUUUUGUGGUUACCUGCACAAGGACUAUAAGAAGAAAACAUACUCGACUCCCCAGUCAUAUGAUUAGUAGCACCAGAUUCGAUAAUCCAAGUAUGGCUGGGAGUGACACUAAGUAGAGCAGUAUUUAGAAAAUCACCGCUCUGAGCUAUAAGGCAAGAAAAAGUUUGAGACUCAAGAAGUUUGUACAAUUGAUCUAAUUGUUCCUUGGUGAAAAUAGAUGGGCUUGAAGGAGACUGCUUCUCUUGAUCAGAUGUACCAGCUUGGAGCGCAUGACCUUCGUUUCUUUCUUUUUUCUUCCAAUUUAGAGGUUUUCUAUGGAGCUUCCAACAUGUAUCACGUGUGUGCCAUGGACGUUUGCAAUGUUCGCACCAUGGUUUCUUGCCAUCGCUCUUCCCUUCUACAUUCUUAGUGACUAGGGCAGAGCUUUCAACCUCACCAAUAGAAGAUGACUUACCCAUCAUAACACCUUGUCUCGCCUCUUCUCUUCUAACUUCUGAGAACGCUUCCCGAAAUGAUGGCAAUGGGAUCUUUCCCAAUAUUUUGUCUCGGACUUCAUCAAGCCGCUUAUUAAGCCCUACCAAGAACAUGAAUACACGGUCGUUCUCCUGUCUCUUAAGAAACAAAACACUGUCCUCACAACACUUCCAAUGAUCAUCAUAGUAGAGAUCCAAUUCUUGCCAUAGUGUCAUCAACUCAUUAUAAUAGGUAGUGACAUCUCUAUCUCCUUGUUUGGCAUGCCACAAUCGCGAUUUGAGAUCGAAAAUUUGAGAAGAAUUCUGAAUAUCAUAAUAUGUUUCUUUGAUAGUCUCCCAAAUUUCCUUCGCAGUAGGCAAAAACAUAAAAGGUUUUCUAAUCGUUGAUUCCAUAUUACUAAGCAGCCAAGCAAUAAUAACAGAGUUCUCAGAUUUUCAAAACCUGUAAUUCGGAUCAGUUGUGGCAGGCAUUUGCACCUCUCCUGUUAGGAAACCAUAUUUUCCCUUACCGUCUAGUAUCAAUAUUGCAGUUUGGGACCAUUCGACUUAAUUUUUUACCCAUAAGGGCUACCUUCCAUGGGGUAUUGUGUGCCAUUAGCUUUAGAUCAGUUGGUUGGAGCGCCAAACCCUAAUGGGUUGUGGAAAAGUUUACAGAACCCUAACCAGAGCUCUUGAUACCAUGAAGAAAGUAAAAGACAAAAUACUUUCAUAUUUUAUUUUUAUUACUACAGCCCUAUAAUGACAGAGUCAUAAAAUAAAAAUAAACAUAAUAAUAUAAAAUAAAAGAGAAUAAAAUCUAAUUUCUCUUGAUUCUUCAACAAUUAUAAAAUAUCUUUUAUAUUAUAUUAUAGUAUCUUGAGUUAUUUCCUAAGAUCAAUUUAUAAUCAUAGCGAUAUUUUAGAAUAUCUCAUUAUUAUUAUUAUGAUUUGUUACUUAUUUAGGCUUGAGUCUAUGUAUCUCUAUAAAUAGAGAUUAGUAUUGGGUCUUUUGUAAUCUAGUUAGCAUAAAACUAUUAUCAAUAAUAUUCGAACUGUUAUUAUUUUCUCUCCUUUUAUCUAAAAUCCCACAACUUCAACAGUUCCUAACAGAGUCUUUCUCCUAUUCUUUAUUAUAUUUUCUUAAUGCAAGUGUUCUUCCUCUAAUUCAUUGGAAUCCAUUUCUUGGGUUCCUAACAAAAGAGAACUAUAACAGCAAGAAACUCAAAUUCUUCUUUUUGAACUUUUCUCCUCGUCCAUUUCCGAAAUUUCCAUCCGUAUUUUUUCUCCCUCCCCCUACAAAUUGAAAUACACCAUGAAAAAUAGAGUUUAGCAUUGCCGUUGCUCACAGAUGUGUAAUAACUGCUAAAGAGACUAUGUUUACUUUACUAAUGCGUUAAUGAAAUUGAUUUUGGCUACUAAAUAUGAUAAGUUUAUAAUGCAUGUGAUAUUAUUUAUCUAUCAUUAUAUUGCUUUUGAUUUUUGAGGUUUAACUUGUGCUUUAUCUCUAGAUUAAUUAUGUCUGAUGUUGUGGAUGCUAAAUUAUGUUACAGCUGAAGGAAAUGAUGCUAAGACUGCCAGAAAGACAUAAUGCUUACUACAGCACAGAUUCCGACGUGGAAACCACUAACAGGAUUCUAGAUCAGUCCUUAGAUGAGAAUCAUAUAACAAACAACAUCGUUCCCAAAAAUGCAAGCGUUAGCAAUGCAGAAAAUCUGGUAUUGCCUAUUGGUGCCACAACACAAAGUGGAAAGGCAGAGUGGGUGGUGCAAGAUGAACCAGGUGUGUACGUAAGUUUGUCCUCCCUUCCAGGUGGUGGCAAUGAACUUAAGCGCGUGCGCUUCAGGUAUUUUUCCUUUGCUACCCCCUAAUUUGUUUAAUUUGUCAAAACAUUAUCCAUUUUCAUUGUCAAUAGGUUUAUGACAAUAGAAUUAGCUCCUUGUCAUCAAAGCAUAAAGCUGAGUGUUAGCAUACAAGGUAGGUUGGCCUGUGCAUUGUUCUCACUGCACGCCUAAAGGAGGGUUCUGGCACAAAGAGUGUGCUAAAAAUACAGUACAAACGGUUCAUGUGACCUAUCAACUUACAGCCUUUUGAUUUUAGAUUCAUGUUACCUGAUUGUUUGAUACAAGACACUUUUGUGAAAGGGUUUCAUUCCUCCAAAUUGCCAUUAGUAGAGAAAUGAAUAGGCUUUUGAGUCUUUAGUAUAGUUGGUUCAUGACAAGCACUAUAGAUGAUGGCGAUCAAAUUGCCAGAUUAAUUCCUAGUUCCAAUGACCACAUAUCCCAUAUUAUUCUCUUUAAACAACUUUUAUCUGUUAUUGCCUUACUCAAUCUUAAAUGAAGAGUUUCACAUUCGAUAAGAUAUGACCUGAAUGAGUUUAUAAAUGGGCGGCAGUCCUGACCUUACCAGCGGGUUUUGCAAUGGUUAAGUUAGAUCUCAAAUUCUAAGAUCGUAUCAAAGCCUAUCUAAGAUCUAAUUGACCACUUGCUUUCAGACCACUCGAGUCAUGCUCGAGAUGUCCGACAGGGUUUGAGAGGGUUGUGUUAAGAGUCCCAUAUUGGAUGAGAUAUGACUUGAAUAAGAGUUUAUGAGACAGUACUCACCUUACACGUUGGUUUUGUAAAGAUGAGUUAGACUUAACCCAAAUUCUAAGAAUUGCAUAUGCUAUUAUAGAAUAGAGAUAGCAGACCAAAAAAUUUCACUCUAAAACUUGUUGUCACUCCAUGAAAACAUGAUGAAAUACUUGUCAAUCAUGAAACUUCAUAAGAAGAAAGUGCAACUUCCAUGAUUAUCUCAAAAAAGAAAACUAUUGGCAAGUUGUUCCAAUAAAUUUUUUAAAUGUAACAAGACAAGUUGUCUACAUCGUUUUUAUUAUUGGAGUACGCAGAGCUUGCCCAUUUUAGUGCAAAACCUUUAUGAUGACAUGAUUUAAUGCUUUUGCCCAUUUUCCCUUGUCAAUGUUAUUUAACCCUCUGAUUCCUAACUGAAAGAUAAUUUGAACCAGCUAACCAAAAAACUACGAAGCUCCCUGCAAAGAUAAAAAGUUAGUUCUUUAUGCUUACAUGCAUACACAACCUUUCUGUUCUAGCAGUUGAGAUCAAACUUUCACGGAAAAGGGUGUAAGACAAUAUAUUGAAAUAUACUCCCUCUGGAAAUAUAAGAAAAAAAUGAAUGUAUUUAGUCUAAAAUUUGGACUAAAUACAUUCACUUUUUUGCUUAUAUGUAAGUCUGUAGGGAGUAUAAUAUUAAUUGUGGCUUGAUCUUUGGCUCGGUAUUAUAGCCCAAGUCCUUACCAAAACGACUCAGAGGGAGACAAAUGCUUGAUUCUCCUUCCUUUGCUAGCUAUGUGUAUGUGUAGCCCAAAAGACAAAAAGGGAUGUUGAAUGAGGGAGAAAUGAGAGACAUAUGGUGAAACUAUGUGUUUAAACUACCCAGGUGGUUGCUUCUUUUAUUCACUUUCUCUUCAAGAUCACCAUGCAAAAAAGCAUUUUUAAUGUCAAGAUGAAGAAUAAGCCAAUGUCGAAUGGCUGCAAUGGAGAGAACGAGUCUAAUAGAUGCCAUUUUGGCUACAGGUGAAAAAGUAUCUCUAUAAUCCAACCCAAAAAUCUAAGUAUAUCACUUGACCACCAAACGAGUCUUAAAUCGAUCAAUUUUAUCAUCACGACCACAAUUCACCGUAUAAAGCCAACAACAACCUACUAAAGAUUUCCUAGGAGGUAGAGGAUCCAGUUCCCGAAGUACCACGACUUUGAAGAGCACACAUCAAUCAUUGCAUGCCUCCACUCAGGGACGAUGAUAAGAAGGUUAGGAGGUAUGUGGGUUGACUCAAAGUAUGGAUUAGACUCAAAAGAUAACAUCAACUGAAAUGGGGUACCUUUUAAGAGUAGGAGAGUAACAACAAAAACUUUUUUGAGAUUAAUGAUAACCAAGAAAGACACACUUGAGUGAUGGGACUGAGAGUUUGUUAAGACCGAGAGAGAGAUCGUGGACAAAAUACGUGGAGCCAAAGACACGGGGGAAGCAAGUGCGAAGGAGUACGAGGAAAGAGAACUGAGUGAGGAAUUUGGCUAUGAAGGACAAACAAUGGCAUCAAUUUAUAAGAUAACACGCCGUUAGAACAAUAUCUCCCAAAAAACGAGGUGAAACAUUACCAUGAAGGAGAGUAUGAAUGGUUUCAAAAAGAUACCAAUUUUUGCAUUCGGCUACCUGAUUUUGUUGAGGUGUAUGAGCACAAGAUGUUUGGUGAAGAAUACCCUUAGAGGUCAUAAAACUUGACAUUGAUAGGACAAAUAAUUCUAUGCAUCAUCAAUUCUUAAAGCGCAAAUGGACAUCCCAAAUUGAGUUUUAUUUUCGUUAUAAAAUUGUUCAUAAAUAGAAAAAUAUUCAAACCUAUUUUCAUUAAAAAUAAUCUUAUACUACGAAAAAAAUCAUCGAUAAAUGUAACAAUUUUUUUUCAAUAAUUACUAAAAAUUUAUUAAAAAUAAAAGGAUAAAUAAAAAAUGGAGAGACAUAAACCAAACUUAGUAAAAAAAUAAAAAAGAAAGCAAACAAAAUAUUCCUUAAAUCAUGCAUUUUUUUUAUAUAUUGUAGUUUCUUUUUGCAUACUCUUUUUCUUUGUCUUAGAAACUACUUCGGUAAAAGGUUUUUCACUAGCAGUAAAAAGAUUCUCUAUUGAAAGCUCUUCACAUGCAAUAGAACAAUUAUGCAAAUUAUUGACAUCUCUAUCUUUAAAAAAAUCCUACAAAACCUUCAAAUCCUGAGCAAUCAUGGGAUGUUUAUUAUUAUCAUUGAAAAUAACAUUUGGAUAUGUCAUAUCAUCCACCAAAUCUCUUGAGUGUAAAUUUGCUUUCAAAUCGAAUGAACUUGAUGAUUUUGGACAAUGGUCUCUUCUAACACUGCAUCCCUUUAAGAACCUAUAUCACGCAUAUCUAGAUAAUGAAGAUUUUUUCUUUGUUGUUUUGUGUUAUCUAAAUUAGAUAAGCUGGAUCUAAAGACCUCGUGAAUUAUAUUUGUUUUCUGGCGUAACUUGACAUCAUCUUCUUCUGAAGGGAGUAAAUCUGCUACCACUUCCUCAACUAAAUCUGAAUCAGAUGCUUCGACUUGAUUCUUUUCAAAUCUUUCUUAAUCAGAGGGGGACAAUUCUUGAAUAAUUAUGUUACCUCCUAAUUCAAAGUUGAGGACGUGAUCAACAAAAGAAGAGUUAAUAACACGAUGAGUACUAACACAAUGACUUUCUUUGUUUGUGCCAUCAAUUACGACCUUGUCCGAAACAUCGAUGUUUUUAGAGACAUAGUUCUUAACCAACUACUUUACAGCUUGAGCCAUUCCAUGACCAUUAGAAUUUUAGACUCAUAUAUUUAGACUAAAAAGUAGAAAUAGUACGAGAAUGACCCUAAACAUUUAAGUGGACUAAAGCAAUAGGGGACAAAGCUCGUUCAUUGGCUUGAUCAAGAUAAUGACUACGAGUGUGUUUCCCUUAUUGACACGACUCAUAAUGCAAGUUAGAUAAUUUGGAAAAUUUAGGUACCAUCUUUUGAGGUUUGAGAAGCCUCGAAUGACCUAACUGAACAUGUAUAGUGAGAGGAGAAUGUUACAGGACAUGCCAAUGGUUUGGCCAAGAGAUAAUAGAGGCCAUUAGACUCAAAUUCGACGACAAUUUGUGAGAAAUUGGCUGAUAGGAAUUAAAUUAAAAGUACAUCAAGGCAUAUAAAGGACGGAUGCAAUUGACAAAGAAGGAAAAAUUUGGACAAUGUCAAUUCUUUGGGAUUGUGUUUCAGAACCAUUAGCUGAGACUACACGAGGUAAAUAACCAAAUGAAAUGAAAGAAAAGAGAUUUAUUACCAAUAAUGUGAUGAGAAGCACCAGAAUCGAAAACCCAUGGGCUAAGGGAAGGAGACUAAGAGAUGCAAGCAAAUGAAUUACCAGUGUGUGCAGUCGAAACAACGGAACCAGAGUUCUGGUGAUACUUUAGCCACCAGAGAAAAUCUUGGUAAGUAACCGGAGAAGCCUUUGAAGGAUUAGUGGUCUGAUGAGUGUCAGACGAAGUAAUCUGAACUGUACUUCUAGGAUGUGGAGGGAGGACACACAAUUUUCAACACCGGUCAACAGUAUGUCCCAAAUGGUGGCAAUGCUCACAUUUAGGGCAAGACUCAAAGGUGGAUGGUUGUCUCCGUCAAUAAAAUACAGUCAUAUUUUGUAAACAAAAGACCACAAACAGUGGCGUUGGAACCAUUGCAGAGGGAAAAUGCAUUCGAACAGGAGAAAGAAAGUGUUGUUUGUACCUAACGUGUUUAAACAUGGCUCGAAACUGAAUAUGAGAGCAGAUCCGAAACCACAAGGCUGAAGCAAGUCGGACGAGCAAGAUAGAGACCUGCGCAGGAGCACGUGAUGGUGAUUCUUACAGCUAGGUUUUGGGGACGGGCCGAACAAAAAAGGAAAAGCUUUUCCCUGGGGUGACUCGUCAGAAAAGUCGUCGGAAUAGACAGUGGUGGCGGCAACAGUGGUGGCUGUAUUAAAACGGAUGAAAGAGUGCCGGAAUGAGUUACGGUGGUGGAGGAGGGGCAAACAGGAGGUGUAGGGUUACCUCUCAUUAGAUUCUAUUAUAUAGUUCAGAACUCCAAAGAAUACAAUCAAUGAAAACAAUAAGUAAAUGUAUCAUUAAAAACUUUACUAGAAAAAUGCUAUGAGAUAAAAUCAUUGUAAAGGACAAAUAGUACAGGGCAAAACAAAACCGAAUCCCAAGGAUAAAAACAUCAACAAAAAUGAUAACUAGGAAGACUAAACUGUUACAGACGAAACCUUCCCUAGUGAACUGAGGUAAAUAAUCCCACCAUAGUAGAGUAGAAGCCGUGAUUCUAUGAUAAAAAAUAUUUUCUUUAUUCGUUAUUCUGGUAAAUCAGAUUUCGUGUUCACUUACUCAUUCUCAAAAUUGUUUUCACAGUCGAAGGCAUUUCACAGAAGGAGAAGCUGAGAGAUGGUGG